GGAGGGGUGGCAGAGUGGUCGAUCGCGGCGGUCUCGAAAACCGUUAGGCCUGCAAGGGUCUCGGAGGUUCAAAUCCUCUCCCCUCCGCCA
rnacentral:tRNA from 1 species